UACGGGGGGGGCAAGCGUUGUUCGAAAUUACUGGGCGUAAAGGGCUCGUAGGCGGCCAACUAAGUCAGACGUGAAAUCCCUCGGCUUAACCGGGGAACUGCGUCUGAUACUGGAUGGCUUGAGAUUGGGAGAGGGAUGCGGAAUUCCAGGUGUAGCGGUGAAAUGCGUAGAUAUCUGGAGGAACACCGGUGGCGAAGGCGGCAUCCUGGACCAACACUGACGCUGAGGAGCGAAAGCCAGGGGAGCAAACGGG
rnacentral:rRNA from 1 species